CUGGCUCAGGACGAACGCUGGCGGCGUGCUUAACACAUGCAAGUCGAACGGGAAGAAAAGAAAGAGCUUGCUCUUUUUUGGAUUCUAGUGGCAAACGGGUGAGUAACACGUAAACAACCUGCCUUCAGGAUGGGGACAACAGACGGAAACGACUGCUAAUACCGAAUACCUUCCAAUUUCCGCAUGGAGAUAGGAAGAAA
rnacentral:rRNA from 1 species